GACGAACGCUAGCGGCGUGCUUAACACAUGCAAGUCGAGCGGUAAGGCCCUUCGGGGUACACGAGCGGCGAACGGGUGAGUAACACGUGGGUGAUCUGCCUUGCACUUCGGGAUAAGCCUGGGAAACUGGGUCUAAUACCGGAUAUGACCACUGAUCGCAUGGUCGGUGGUGGAAAGAUUUAUCGGUGCGAGAUGGGGCCCGCGGCCUAUCAGCUUGUUGGUGAGGUAACGGCUCACCAAGGCGACGACGGGUAGCCGACCUGAGAGGGUGACCGGCCACACUGGGACUGAGACACGGCCCAGACUCCUACGGGAGGCUG
rnacentral:rRNA from 1 species